UACAUAGGGUGCAAGCGUUGUUCGGAAUUAUUGGGCGUAAAGGGUGUGUAGGCGGUUUCCUAAGUCUUCUGUGAAAUCUACGGGCUUAACCUGUAACGUGCAGAGGAAACUGGGAGACUUGAGUGUCGGAGAGGAUAGGGGAAUACCCGGUGUAGAGGUGAAAUUCGUAGAGAUCGGGUGGAACACCAGUGGCGAAGGCGCCUGUCUGGCUGACAACUGACGCUGAGACUCGAAAGCAUGGGGAGCAAACAGG
rnacentral:rRNA from 1 species